UUCACUAGCAAUAGUUUUGCGUUCUUGUGAGUGGGUUCAAUUCACUAGCAAUAGUUUUACGUUCCCGUGAGUGGGUUCAAUUCACUAGCAAUAGUUUUACGUUCCCUUGAGUGGGUUCAAUUCACUAGCAAUAGUUUUGCGUUCCCGUGAGUGGGUUCAAUUCACUAGCAAUAGUUUUGCGUUCCCGUGAGUGGGUUCAAUUCACUAGCAAUAGUUUUACGUUCCCGUGAGUGGGUUCAAUUCACUAGCAAUAAUUUUACGUUCCCGUGAGAUCAUGGGUUCAAUUCACUAGCAAUAGUUUUACUUUCCUGUGAAUGGGUUCAAUUCACUAGCAAUAGUUUUGCGUUCUUGUGAGUGGGUUCAAUUCACUAGCAAUAGUUUUACGUUCCCGUGAGUGGGUUCAAUUCACUAGCAAUAGUUUUACUUUCCUGUGAGUUGGUUCAAUUCACUAGCAAUAGUUUUAAGUUGCCGUGAGUGCAUGGGUUCACUUCACUAGCAAUAGUUUUACGUUCCCGUGAGUGGGUUCAAUUCACUAGCAAUAGUUUUACGUUCCCGUGAGUGGGUUCAAUUCACUAGCAAUAGUUUUACUUUCCCGUGAGUUGGUUCAAUUCACUAGCAAUAGUUUUACGUUCCCUUGAGUGGGUUCAAUUAACUAGCAAUAGUUUUACGUUCCCGUGAGUGGGUUCAAUUCACUAGCAAUAGUUUUACUUUCCUGUGAGUGGGUUCAAUUCACUAGCAAUAGUUUUACGUUCCCGUGAGUGGGUUCAAUUCACUAGCAAUAGUUUUGCGUUCCCGUGAGUGGGUUCAAUUCACUAGCAAUAGUUUUACGUUCCCGUGAGUGGGUUCAAUUCACUAGCAAUAGUUUUAAGUUGCCGUGAGUGGGUUCAAUUCACUAGCAAUAGUUUUAAGUUGCCGUGAGUGCAAGGGUUCACUUCACUAGCAAUAGUUUUACGUUCCCGUGAGUGGGUUCAAUUCACUAGCAAUAGUUUUACGUUCCCUUGAGUGGGUUCAAUUCACUAGCAAUAGUUUUGCGUUCCCGUGAGUGGGUUCAAUUCACUAGCAAUAGUUUUGCGUUCCCGUGAGUGGGUUCAAUUCACUAGCAAUAGUUUUACGUUCCCGUGAGUGGGUUCAAUUCACUAGCAAUAAUUUUACGUUCCCGUGAGAUCAUGGGUUCAAUUCACUAGCAAUAGUUUUACGUUCCCGUGAGUGGGUUCAAUUCACUAGCAAUAGUUUUACGUUCCCGUGAGUGGGUUCAAUUCACUAGCAAUAGUUUUGCGUUCCCGUGAGUGGGUUCAAUUCACUAGCAAUAGUUUUGCGUUCCCGUGAGUGGGUUCAAUUCACUAGCAAUAGUUUUGCGUUCCCGUGAGUGGGUUCAAUUCACUAGCAAUAGUUUUGCGUUCCCGUGAGUGGGUUCAAUUCACUAGCAAUAGUUUUGCGUUCCCGUGAGUGGGUUCAAUUCACUAGCAAUAGUUUUACGUUCCCGUGAGUGGGUUCAAUUCACUAGCAAUAGUUUUGCGUUCCCGUGAGUGGGUUCAAUUCACUAGCAAUAGUUUUGCGUUCCCGUGAGUGGGUUCAAUUCACUAGCAAUAGUUUUGCGUUCCCGUGAGUGGGUUCAAUUCACUGACAAUAGUUUUGGUUUUUGUGCUGUACUCCCCACACUCACACACACACACACACAGUGAAGGAGCCUCCAUCACAACGCCAGUGAUAUUUCCAUAGUCAUGAUGAGACACGCUGUUUCUUAUAAUCAUGGACACUGAUGGGAUAAGUUGAAGAUAAUUAUUGUCAAGAAAGUAAACACAAGCCCGGCCCGUCCAAGGAAACAUGACAACAUUGAUCAUCAUUGAAAAUUUUUAGCCUAUGCAGUCAUAAAAAUUAAUAUUGUUGUAUUUUUUAAUCUC